rnacentral:rRNA from 1 species
UGUGACCUACGGGACGCAGCAGUGGGGGAUAUUGCACAAUGGGGGAAACCCUGAUGCAGCGACGCCGCGUGGGCGAAGAAGUAUUUCGGUAUGUAAAGCCCUAUCAGCAGGGAAGAAGAAAUGACGGUACCUGAGUAAGAAGCACCGGCUAAAUACGUGCCAGCAGCCGCGGUAAUACGUAUGGUGCAAGCGUUAUCCGGAUUUACUGGGUGUAAAGGGAGCGCAGGCGGCACGGCAAGCCUGAUGUGAAAGCCCGCGGCCCAACCGUGGGACUGCAUUGGUAACUACCGGUAUGGAGUGCCGGG